rnacentral:rRNA from 1 species
UACGGAGGGUGCAAGCGUUAUCCGGAUUUACUGGGUUUAAAGGGUGCGUAGGUGGGUAGGCAAGUCAGUGGUGAAAUCUUCGGGCUUAACCCGGAAACUGCCAUUGAUACUAUUUAUCUUGAAUACUUUGGAGGUAAGCGGAAUAUGUCAUGUAGCGGUGAAAUGCUUAGAUAUGACAUAGAACACCAAUUGCGCAGGCAGCUUACUACACAGUAAUUGACACUGAGGCACGAAAGCGUGGGGAUCAAACAGG